rnacentral:hammerhead_ribozyme from 1 species
AUCUAACCGACAAGUCCCAAACAGGACGAAAAGCGCGUUCUUGAU